UAGGGAAUCUUCCGCAAUGGACGAAAGUCUGACGGAGCAACGCCGCGUGAGUGAAGAAGGAUUUCGGUUCGUAAAACUCUGUUGUUAGGGAAGAAAAAAUGUAUAGUAACUAUAUACAAAAGAGACGGUACCUAACCAGAAAGCCACGGCUAACUACGUGCCAGCAGCCGCGGUAAUACGUAGGUGGCAAGCGUUGUCCGGAAUUAUUGGGCGUAAAGCGCGCGCAGGUGGUUUAGAAAGUCUGAUGUGAAAGCCCACGGCUCAACCGUAGAGGGUCAUUGGAAACUAAUAAACUUGAGUGCAGGAGAGAAAAGUGGAAUUCCUAGUGUAGCGGUGAAAUGCGUAGAGAUUAGGAGGAACACCGGUGGCGAAAGCGGCUUUUUGGCCUGCAACUGACACUGAGGCGCGAAAGCGUGGGGAGCAAACAGG
rnacentral:rRNA from 1 species